rnacentral:rRNA from 1 species
AACGAACGCUGGCGGCAUGCCUAACACAUGCCAGUCGAACGAAGCCUUCGGGCUUAGUGGCGCACGGGUGCGUACGCGUGGGAAUCUGCCCCUUGCUUCGGAAUAACAGUUAGAAAUGACUGCUAAUACCGGAUGAAGUCUUCGGACCAAAGAUUUAUCGGCAAGGGAUGAGCCCGCGUAGGAUUAGGUAGUUGGUGGGGUAAAGGCCUACCAAGCCGACGAUCCUUAGCUGGUCUGAGAGGAUGAUCAGCCACACUGGGACUGAGACACGGCCCAGACUCCUACGGGAGGCAGCAGUGGGGAAUAUUGGACAAUGGACGCAAGUCUGAUCCAGCAAUGCCGCGUGAGUGAUGAAGGCCUUAGGGUUGUAAAGCUCUUUUACCAGGGAUGAUAAUGACAGUACCUGGAGAAUAAGCUCCGGCUAACUCCGUG